GCUGGGAAGUGGCUCAGUUGGUAGAGCGCUUGCCUAGCAUGCAUGAGGCCCUGGGUUUGAUCCCCAGCACUGCA